rnacentral:rRNA from 1 species
GAUUGACCUCGGAUCAGGUAGGGAUACCCGCUGAACUUAAG